UGGCGGCGCGCCUAACACAUGCAAGUCGAACGCGAAGGAAGUCUUCGGACUUCUGGAGAGUGGUGCACGGGUGAGUAACACGUGGGUAAUCUGCCUUUGGGUGGGGAAUAACGAUCCGAAAGGGUCGCUAAUACCGCAUAACGCAGCGGCACCGCAUGGUGACAGUUGUUAAAGGGGGGGAUCGAAAGACCUCUCGCCUGAAGAGGAGCCUGCGUCCGAUUAGCUAGUUGGUGAGGUAACGGCUCACCAAGGCAUCGAUCGGUAGCCGGCCUGAGAGGGCGGUCGGNCACACUGGCACUGAGACACGGGCCAGACUCCUACGGGAGGCAGCAGUGGGGAAUUUUGGGCAAUGGGCGAAAGCCUGACCCAGCAACGCCGCGUCAAGGAUGAAAUCCCUCUGGGAUGUAAACUUC
rnacentral:rRNA from 1 species